GAUGAAGAACGUAGUGAAAUGCGAUACUUGGUGUGAAUUGCAGAAUCCCGUGAACCAUCGAGUCUUUGAACGCAAGUUGCGCCCGAAGCCAUUAGGCCGAGGGCACGCCUGCCUGGGCGUCACACGUCGUUGCCCCCCCAUCUACUCCUUCGGGAUUGCGGGGGGCGGAUGAUGGCCUCUCGUGCGCCUCGUCGCGCGGUUGGCCUAAAUGCCAAGUCCUCGGCGACGCACGCCACGACAAUCGGUGGUUGCGAAACCUCGGUUGCCUGUCGUGUGCGGUCGUCGCGCAUCGAGGGCUCGAAAAAAUUGCCGGGCUUCGGCUCGACUUUCAACGCGACCCCAGGUCAGGCGGGGUUACCCGCUGAAUUUAAGCAUAUCAAUAAGCUGAGGA
rnacentral:misc_RNA from 1 species